CCAAACUUAACUCCCAACCAAUGUGGGACUUUGGCAUUUUGCCAAACUUUAACAGAUUUCAACUAUAUAUAAAUAUGAGUUGAUGUUCAGCGAUUGCUUUCAUCCUUUUACAUAUAUAGCAAAAUUAAAAUGAAGUUGUUAGUAACUUGCAUUGCACUGUUUUUUAGUUUCACUCAGCAAGUAAUUUCUCAAUCGACCACCUAUGAUAAUAUGCAGAUCGUAUUACAAUGGGCACCCACAUUCUGUGGGAGGAAUAAGUACUGCAACAAUCCUGUUCCACAAAGUUUCACCUUGCAUGGGCUUUGGCCGGCAAACAGUAUUGGAUAUAGUCUACAAUGUGCUCCACCUCCACAAGAUACUAGCGUGGUCAGUAUAUAUGUUCUUGAAAAUACUUAUUAGCAUGUAUAGUUGCCGUUUUUUGAUGAUUAGUACUAGUACAUAUAUAUUUUUUAACAUAUAUAGAAUUCAAAAUUCUUCAUAUAUGCAUGUACUUACAGUGGACAACGGACAGACCGUUGCGGACAGCUCUUCAAAAUUGUUGGUAUAGUCUGAUCCGGGGUCGUCCCGAUUACAUACUGUGGAAACAUGAAUGGAAGUAUCAUGGCUAUUGCUCUAGCCAUACAAUAAAAGAUACUGACUACUUCUGGGCUGCAGUACGCAAGUAUGGAGAAAACACCAAGAUUGUGGGCAAGGCGAUUGUUGACAAACUGAGUGGUGAAGGAAUCAAUCCGUCAAAUGAUAAGGAUUACAAAAAGAGUGCAAUAACGAGUGCCUUGUCUGAAAUUCUGGGCUUUAAUUGUUGCGGAAGCCAAAUGUAUAUAGUGUGAAUAAGUCACAACUACUAUACCAAAAAUUAUGACAGCCACCAAAUAAUAAUAAGACAAUAAAGAAACAAUAAAGGGAACACCAGAAUUUACGAGGUUUGGCUAAUUUUGCCUACUCCUCGGACACAACCAAUAUUUUAUUCCACUUCAAAAUACAAGUGAAAUAAUACUAAAGAGAGAAGAUACAAAUGCCUUAAACAGAUGAGAAGGCAAAUGAGAGGUGUAUUUCAAUCCUAAACAUUAGGCCUUCUUUUAUAGGGGAAAAAUCCCCCCCAAACUUAACUCCCAACCAAGGUGGGACUUUGGCAUUUUGCCAAACUUCAACAAAUCUCCACCUUGGCAAAAUUCCACAUUUUCAAUUCUCUCUCAAUAACAAAAUUUUGGUUGUGUCAUCAUCUUCAAUCUUCAGUGUUCAACAAUGUUGAUCAAAUCAAAACAAUGUUGAAACUUGAUCGCAGUCACCACCUUAGUU
rnacentral:lncRNA from 1 species